rnacentral:pre_miRNA from 1 species
CCGUGCCAGAUGCGCGUUUACACUGCACCGUUCUAAAGAAUUCUGUAAAUGCACUAUCUGGUACGACAG